rnacentral:rRNA from 1 species
GACGAACGCUGGCGGCGUGCUUAACACAUGCAAGUCGAACGGAAAGGCCCCUUUGGGGGUACUCGAGUGGCGAACGGGUGAGUAACACGUGAGUAACCUGCCCUUGACUUCGGGAUAACUUCAGGAAACUGGGGCUAAUACCGGAUAGGAAUCCUUGCUGCAUGGUGGGGGUUGGAAAGCUUCGGCGGUUUUGGAUGGACUCGCGGCUUAUCAGCUUGUUGGUGGGGUAGUGGCUUACCAAGGCUUUGACGGGUAGCCGGCCUGAGAGGGCGACCGGCCACAUUGGGACUGAGGUACGGCCCAGACGCCGACGGGAGGCAGCAGUGGGGAAUAUUGCACAAUGGGCGGAGGCCUGAUGCAGCAGCGCCGCGGGCGGGAUGACGGCCUUGGGGUUGUAAACCGCUUUCAGCAGGGGCGAAGCUUGUGGUGACGGUACCUGCAGAAGAAGCACCGGCUAACUACGUG